rnacentral:rRNA from 1 species
UACGUAGGGGGCGAGCGUUGUCCGGAUUUAUUGGGCGUAAAGAGCUCGUAGGCGGUUUGGUAAGUCGGGUGUGAAAUUUUUCGGCUUAACCGGGAAAGGUCGUCGGAUACUGCAAGGCUAGAGGACGGUAGAGGCGUGUGGAAUUCCGGGUGUAGUGGUGAAAUGCGUAGAGAUCCGGAGGAACACCAGUGGCGAAGGCGACACGCUGGGCCGUACCUGACACUGAUGCGCGACAGCAUGGGGAGCAAACAGG